GAUGAACGCUGGCGGCGUGCCUAAUACAUGCAAGUCGAGCGAACGGACGAGAAGCUUGCUUCUCUGAUGUUAGCGGCGGACGGGUGAGUAACACGUGGAUAACCUACCUAUAAGACUGGGAUAACUUCGGGAAACCGGAGCUAAUACCGGAUAAUAUUUUGAACCGCAUGGUUCAAAAGUGAAAGACGGUCUUGCUGUCACUUAUAGAUGGAUCCGCGCUGCAUUAGCUAGUUGGUAAGGUAACGGCUUACCAAGGCAACGAUGCAUAGCCGACCUGAGAGGGUGAUCGGCCACACUGGAACUGAGACACGGUCCAGACUCCUACGGGAGGCAGCAGUAGGGAAUCUUCCGCAAUGGGCGAAAGCCUGACGGAGCAACGCCGCGUGAGUGAUGAAGGUCUUCGGAUCGUAAAACUCUGUUAUUAGGGAAGAACAUAUGUGUAAGUAACUGUGCACAUCUUGACGGUACCUAAUCAGAAAGCCACGGCUAACUACGUGCCAGCAGCCGCGGUAAUACGUAGGUGGCAAGCGUUAUCCGGAAUUAUUGGGCGUAAAGCGCGCGUAGGCGGUUUUUUAAGUCUGAUGUGAAAGCCCACGGCUCAACCGUGGAGGGUCAUUGGAAACUGGAAAACUUGAGUGCAGAAGAGGAAAGUGGAAUUCCAUGUGUAGCGGUGAAAUGCGCAGAGAUAUGGAGGAACACCAGUGGCGAAGGCGACUUUCUGGUCUGUAACUGACGCUGAUGUGCGAAAGCGUGGGGAUCAAACAGGAUUAGAUACCCUGGUAGUCCACGCCGUAAACGAUGAGUGCUAAGUGUUAGGGGGUUUCCGCCCCUUAGUGCUGCAGCUAACGCAUUAAGCACUCCGCCUGGGGAGUACGACCGCAAGGUUGAAACUCAAAGGAAUUGACGGGGACCCGCACAAGCGGUGGAGCAUGUGGUUUAAUUCGAAGCAACGCGAAGAACCUUACCAAAUCUUGACAUCCUUUGACAACUCUAGAGAUAGAGCUUUACCCUUCGGGGGACAAAGUGACAGGUGGUGCAUGGUUGUCGUCAGCUCGUGUCGUGAGAUGUUGGGUUAAGUCCCGCAACGAGCGCAACCCUUAAGCUUAGUUGCCAUCAUUAAGUUGGGCACUCUAAGUUGACUGCCGGUGACAAACCGGAGGAAGGUGGGGAUGACGUCAAAUCAUCAUGCCCCUUAUGAUUUGGGCUACACACGUGCUACAAUGGACAAUACAAAGGGCAGCGAAACCGCGAGGUCAAGCAAAUCCCAUAAAGUUGUUCUCAGUUCGGAUUGUAGUCUGCAACUCGACUACAUGAAGCUGGAAUCGCUAGUAAUCGUAGAUCAGCAUGCUACGGUGAAUACGUUCCCGGGUCU
rnacentral:rRNA from 1 species